GAUGAACGCUAGCGGCAGGCCUAACACAUGCAAGUCGAGGGGUAGAGGAAGCUUGCUUCCUUGAGACCGGCGCACGGGUGCGUAACGCGUAUGCAAUCUACCUUUUACAGAGGGAUAGCCCAGAGAAAUUUGGAUUAAUACCACAUAGUAUAUAUCAUUCGCAUGUUUGGUAUAUUAAAGUUCCAACGGUAAAAGAUGAGCAUGCGUCACAUUAGUUAGUUGGUAAGGUAACGGCUUACCAAGACGAUGAUGGGUAGGGGUCCUGAGAGGGAGAUCCCCCACACUGGUACUGAGACACGGACCAGACUCCUACGGGAGGCAGCAGUGAGGAAUAUUGGUCAAUGGACGCAAGUCUGAACCAGCCAUGCCGCGUGCAGGAAGAUGGUCCUAUGGAUUGUAAACUGCUUUUGUACGGGAAGAAACACUCCUACGUGUAGGAGCCUGACGGUACCGUAAGAAUAAGGAUCGGCUAACUCCGUGCCAGCCGCCGCCGUAAGAC
rnacentral:rRNA from 1 species